rnacentral:rRNA from 1 species
GACGAACGCUGGCGGCAUGCCUAACACAUGCAAGUCGAACGAGAACUUCGGGGCUAGUGGCGGGCGGGCGCGGAACGCGUGGGGAGCUGCCCUUAAGUUCCGUAUAACUCCCCCCAAGGGGUGCUAAUGCCGGGGAAUGUAAUCGGACCAAAGGUUUAUCGGCUUUGGUUGGGCCCGCGUUGGAUUAGCUAGGUGGUAGGGUAAAAGCCUACCAAGGGGACGUUCCAGAGCUGGUGUGCGAGGAUGAGCAGCCACACUGGGACUGCGACACGGCCCCGACCCCUACGGGAGGGAGCAGAAGGGAAUAUUGGGGAAUGGGCCAAAGCCUGAUCCAGCAAUGCCGGGUGAGUGAUGAAGGGCUUAGGGUUGUAAAGCUCGUUUACCCGGGAUGAUAAUGACAGUACCGGGAGAAUAAGCUCCGGCUAACUCCGUG